UUUAACGACUGAUGUUGGCUGUUUUCGAUAUUAGCAAAAUUAAAGUAAUUUGCGUCCAUUAUAACUGUAUUCAGAACACAAUGGCAAGUUUCUUGCCUGGAUAAUUGUUAUUGGUCAAAUCGGGGUCGAAUCACGUUUUCCCGAAAAUACUUCGUCUAUCUUCGGUAAGAGUCGGAUUGUUCGUGCAAGACAACCACGAGGUUUACGAUCCAUUCGGACAAACCAUGCGAUGUGCAAUCUUGAGAGGACGAUCGUCUGCCUUUUUACCGGGUAUGUUACACACUGCAGCUUAAAUCAUCAAGCGAGAUGACUUCAAGACCUUGGCAUUACCACUAAUGGGAAAGCGUGUAAGCCACCAAAUGUUGAAAGGCUUGAAAAGUUACGCCUUUUUCCUAUGCCUACCGGCACCGUUUCUAAAUGGCGCUCACCCUAGAAGGUGAAGUGUUGACAAUUUAUACAUGUAGCUGGAGAUGAAACGUGUUGGCAGUUGUUGAUGACUUCAGGUCAAUCCGAAUUAGAGAAUCUGGCUGAGCAAAGAGAUGUGCUUCAGUAAUAAAGAGUUGACAAGAAAGCUGUUAGCAAAAAGAGUUUCCAUUACUCUAUGCAGUCCCUACUCUUGUGACAUGUAGUCAAGAUGCUUUUGCUGACUUUUCUGUUCUCCUCAGAGGUGAGGGUAUUGGCAGAACAUUUUGUUUAGAAUAGAAUCUGUUUGUAAAUUACAUUCAGGUGUGUCUUGAUGCGUUAAUUUUCUCUAUGUUAAUUUUCUGUCUUGCAUUGGUAAAAUGGAGGUGCUUGGUGCAAAUGAUGACCCCCAGAAUAGGGACAUAAGAAAGUCACUCAGUGACUUGGUUAGAAAACCUGGGUUGUUUGUCUGAUGUGUCAAGUCACUUCUCACAACAAGUUGCAAGGGAUUCAGUUGAUCAUCUUUGUUACAGAACUACUAAUGAUGCUUCUCAAUUGAAUUGUUUUUUUAAAAAAAACCAAGAAUGGAGUUAAGAGGAUUGAGAACUCUCCAACUGUGGUAAGUAUUAAUUAAUAAUUUCCAAUGAUUGAACCGUAAAAUUCUGCUUAAAGAAGCCCUGGGCUUACACAUCUUUAUGAGGGUUUUUGUGCGGCAUGUAAACAGUAUCGUUUUGACAUAAAUGCAGCUGAUGCACUAGAUCCCAAAUCCAAAAGUGCAAACCCCCCUUUUCUCUAUUUCACUGUUCUUGUGGAGUGGAGGACAUGUCUAUUGCACCCCUUCCCCCUCAAAAUGGCCACCCCUUGACAAUACCAGUUAAGCCUGUCCCAAGCAGCAGCUGGGGAGGGAAGGUUGAGCUAUGUGUGUUUGUGGUGCUCCAGUAUUCUCUUUACAAGAAUUGACCAUAGAGUUUGUUAAUGUAUGGUGCAAGUGAUGACUCCAGAAUAGGGACAUAAGAAAGUCAUUUUGUGACUUGAUUAGAAAUCCUGGUUUUUGGUCUGAAGCACUGAAGCCAUUUCUACAUAUGGUCAAGGAAUUCAAGUUGGGCAUUUUGGUGGCUUUUACUAUUUUUGCAUUUUUACAGCAACUACACAUCAACACGGAAAGCAGCACUCAUCCAGUCGCCCACUCACCCAGGCAAGUUUCAAGGGUGCAAAUACAUUUGCAUGUAACCCUGUUUGUUUACCAACUGUUAAUCAGGUACAUGAAGCGAUCUAAAGCAACAACUUCACAAGUCAAACUUGAACGUGAUGAAUUGUAAAAAUUGAAACUUGAAGGAGCUGAACAGUAAUAAAAAAUUAUGCUCAAUA